CACAGCAGGUCUGAGGGUGGGUUGGCUACCUGAAGCACUCAAAAGAGGUGAGAGGCUUGUGCUUAGUGUAAAAGGCUGUGUAGGUGGCUGAGACAGUGCUCCCGUGAAGGGUGUCUGAAGCUGGGCACCUACCACACUAUGAGCUGGUUGGCUUGGAAUGAGCUCAUGAACAUGAGGAGAAGAGGGCUGCACAGCACUGUCAGAACUAGCUGCCAUGUCAGGAGUGGUCACGUUGGUGAGAAGAGGAGUGAUGCCACUGAUAGCCGGGGUCAUAACAGGCCCUGCCGUGCUAAGAGAAGCAUGAGUUUGUGUGAACGCACUGGAGUAACAAGGUGCCAAUGGAACACCAUAGGAAACUUGAGCAGGAGUGGAGCGGCUAUGAGGUGGAAGAAUAGUAGCUCCCGUGCGUGGAUAAGGCCUCGGGAGAGCAACAAGGCUGGCGCGCUUCAGCCGUUCAAUUUCUGCUUUCCAUUUUUCAUCACGCCUUUGCACUAUUAACAGAAUCUCUGAAGUCAGUCUCCAGCGUAUUUAGUCUGUCCAUGACUGAACCUAAGUCGGUGGUAAUGGUUGUGAGAGCAGGAAGUGUGAGGAUUUCUUCUAGUGACCCAUGCAUCUCCCCUUGGUUCAUGGUGCGGUUCACUAGGCCCGUGCCCUGAUGCAGGUGUAGAAGCCCGGUGCCAUGCUCAGAGAUUUCGUCCUGGGAUUCGUCAAGCUCAAUUAGAGCUGGACCACUUUCUUGAUACAUAUCUCCCCUUUUCCGUAAUAAACAGUGCUUAAUAUUCAAUGCAAA